rnacentral:rRNA from 1 species
UACGUAGGAGGCGAGCGUUGUCCGGAAUUACUGGGCGUAAAGCGCGUGUAGGCGGUUGGGCAGGUCUGUUGUGAAAGCGCCCGGCUUAACCGGGUGAGGUCAAUGGAAACCGCACGACUUGAGGACGGUAGAGGGGGGUGGAAUUCCCGGUGUAGUGGUGAAAUGCGUAGAUAUCGGGAGGAACACCAGAGGCGAAGGCGGCCCCCUGGGCCGCUCCUGACGCUGAGACGCGAAGGCCAGGGUAGCGAACGGG